CUGAACUGUAAUGGCAUGUAUCAGUGUGCAAAUACUGGUGGAUGGAAAGUGAUAUUUGGCUCAGGAACUAUGCUAAAUAUUAAACCUAAAACACUGCGAAACAUCCCCUUUGCGUACAAAUUAGAAUCUUCUACAUUCGUUGAAAAUCUGCCAAAUUCUGUGUGCCUUAUCACAGAUUUUCCAAGUCCCAACAAAACUUUAACGAUUGAUGCGCAAGAUGUAAAUCUAAAUAAGGUGGCUGUGUUGGAAAAUUCAACAAAUAAUGUCUGGAGAUACAGUACAGUCAUAUGGGAUAACAAUAAAGAUGUUACUUGUUUUGGGAAAUAUGAUUCUGAAAGUUUCAACGCAACAGAUGACACUGAAGAGACUUGCUCAUCAAUUUCCAUCGAUGAGAAUUUCCGAACAAAUCCAAUCUUGAACACAAUGUCCCUAACAGUGCUAGGAUUGAGGGUUUUAACAGCCAAAGCUAUUAUUUUCAAUCUCAUAAUAACCCUAAGACUUUGGUCAUCAUAAGGAAUUUGUCUUUUGGACAUAUGGACUACCAUCUAUUAUCGUCUCAGAUUUUCGAAUAAAAACUGUAAUGCUAUUUCUAAGUGAAAUGUGUCUGUAUUCAUUUUUGUGCUGUACUUGUAAAAUCUAUAGAUUUGUAUAUAUGAUAUAAAGCAAAUCUGUUAUUAUAAAAAGUAAUUUUCAUGGUUUUGGUUCUUAACAAUGUUCCUCCAAAGUAUCUCAGCAACCUAUAGAGAAUUGCGCGUUGAAUUGUGGGAGUUAGGCCCAGAUUAAGGAGUGAAGACACAUAGAGAUAUCAUAGAAAGUACACUAUUAUGGAAGUAUAUGAGUUAAAAUUGUUGUGAUACUGAUUACAUUAAUGUGCAACAAACAGACAGCAAACAGCAGCAGAAAAUAAAUAUGGCACAACAAUGAAUAAUUAAUAGUAUAUACAGUUUGUAACCAUUAUAUAUUCUUAACAUACGAUCACUUUAUUGUUCAGAAGUGUUUGUUAUUUUAAACAGAUUGUAUGAUUUGUAUAGAUGAUUUAUCAUUUAUAUGUGAAUUUUUUAAAACAUAUCAAUCUCUGUUUUAUAUUUCUGUGAGUUCCAUGUUAACCAGCAGUUAAUAUUCCUAUCAAUAAGCAAUUAGUCUGUUCUUUUUAUCAGCUUCAUUUUUCACUUGACUAAAAUGAAUGUUACAUGUGUGUUUGUGGUAUUAUGUAUGUAAUGUUCGUAAAAUGUAAACAUAACUGUCAAAUUUUUCAUAAAAUUAUGUUUAUUUA